rnacentral:rRNA from 1 species
GAUGAACGCUGGCGGCGUGCCUAAUACAUGCAAGUCGAGCGAACAGACGAGGAGCUUGUUCCUCUGACGUUAGCGGCGGACGGGUGAGUAACACGUGGAUAACCUACCUAUAAGACUGGGAUAACUUCGGGAAACCGGAGCUAAUACCGGAUAAUAUAUUGAACCGCAUGGUUCAAUAGUGAAAGACGGUUUUGCUGUCACUUAUAGAUGGAUCCGCGCCGCAUUAGCUAGUUGGUAAGGUAACGGCUUACCGAGGCAACGAUGCGUAGCCGACCUGAGAGGGUGAUCGGCCACACUGGAACUGAGACACGGUCCAGACUCCUACGGGAGGCAGCAGUAGGGAAUCUUCCGCAAUGGGCGAAAGCCUGACGGAGCAACGCCGCGUGAGUGAUGAAGGUCUUCGGAUCGUAAAACUCUGUUAUUAGGGAAGAACAAAUGUGUAAGUAACUAUGCACGUCUUGACGGUACCUAAUCAGAAAGCCACGGCUAACUACGUG